rnacentral:rRNA from 1 species
UACGGAAGGCAGCAGUGGGGAAUAUUGCACAAUGGGCGCAAGCCUGAUGCAGCCAUGCCGCGUGUAUGAAGAAGGCCUUCGGGUUGUAAAGUACUUUCAGUCGUGAGGAAGGUGUUAAGGUUAAUAACCUUAGCAAUUGACGUUAGCGACAGAAGAAGCACCGGCUAACUCCGUGCCAGCAGCCGCGGUAAUACGGAGGGUGCGAGCGUUAAUCGGAAUUACUGGGCGUAAAGGGCACGCAGGCGGUUAAUUAAGUUGGAUGUGAAAUCCCCGGGCUUAACCUGGGAAUGGCAUUCAAGCUGGUUAGCUAGAGUCUUGUAGAGGGGGUAGAAUUCCAUGUGUAGCGGUGAAAUGCGUAGAGAUGUGGAGGAAUACCGGUGGCGAAGGCGGCCCCUGGGACAAAGACUGACGCUCAUGUGCGAAAGCGUGGGGAGCAAACG